rnacentral:rRNA from 1 species
GACGAACGCUGGCGGCGUGCUUAACACAUGCAAGUCGAACGGAAAGGCCCUGCUUUUGUGGGGUGCUCGAGUGGCGAACGGGUGAGUAACACGUGAGUAACCUGCCCUUGACUUUGGGAUAACUUCAGGAAACUGGGGCUAAUACCGGAUAGGCGCUCCUGCUGCAUGGUGGGGUUUGGAAAGUUUCGGCGGUUGGGGAUGGACUCGCGGCUUAUCAGCUUGUUGGUGGGGUAGUGGCUUACCAAGGCUUUGACGGGUAGCCGGCCUGAGAGGGUGACCGGCCACAUUGGGACUGAGAUACGGCCCAGACUCCUACGGGAGGCAGCAGUGGGGAAUAUUGCACAAUGGGCGGAAGCCUGAGGCAGCAACGCCGCGUGCGGGAUGACGGCCUUCGGGUUGUAAACCGCUUUCGCCUGUGACGAAGCGUGAGUGACGGUAAUGGGUAAAGAAGCACCGGCUAACUACGUG